rnacentral:rRNA from 1 species
GACGAACGCUGGCGGCGUGCUUAACACAUGCAAGUCGAACGGAAAGGCCCUGCUUGCAGGGUGCUCGAGUGGCGAACGGGUGAGUAACACGUGGGUGAUCUGCCCCUUACUUUGGGAUAAGCCUGGGAAACUGGGUCUAAUACUGGAUAGGACCAUGCUGUAGGUGGUGUGGUGGAAAGAUUAGUUUCGGUAAGGGAUGAGCUCGCGGCCCAUCAGCUUGUUGGUGGGGUAAUGGCCUACCAAGGCGUCGACGGGUAGCCGGCCUGAGAGGGUGGACGGCCACAUUGGGACUGAGAUACGGCCCAGACUCCUACGGGAGGCAGCAGUGGGGAAUAUUGCACAAUGGGCGCAAGCCUGAUGCAGCGACGCCGCGUGGGGGAUGACGGCCUUCGGGUUGUAAACUCCUUUCAGCCAUGACGAAGCCCUUGUGGUGACGGUAGUGGUAGAAGAAGCACCGGCUAACUACGUGCCAGCAGCCGCGGUAAUACGUAGGGUGCGAGCGUUGUCCGGAAUUACUGGGCGUAAAGAGCUCGUAGGUGGUCUGUCGCGUCAUUUGUGAAAGCCCGGGGCUUAACUCCGGGUUGGCAGGUGAUACGGGCAUGACUGGAGUACUGUAGGGGAGACUGGAAUUCCUGGUGUAGCGGUGAAAUGCGCAGAUAUCAGGAGGAACACCGGUGGCGAAGGCGGGUCUCUGGGCAGUAACUGACGCUGAGGAGCGAAAGCAUGGGUAGCGAACAGG